GACGAACGCUGGCGGCGUGCCUAAUACAUGCAAGUCGAACGCAGUGGGGACGGGUGAGUAACACGUGGGUAACCUCCCAUCAGAGGGGAUAACACUUGGAAACAGGUGCUAAACCGAUACUGAUGGAUGGACCCGCGGUGCAUUAGCUAGUUGGUGAGGUAAAGGCUCACAAAGGCCACGUUGCAUAGCCGACCUGAGAGGGGGAUCGGCCACAUGGGGACUGUGACACGGCCCAGACUCCUACGGGGGGCAGCAGUAGGGAAGCUUCGGCAAUGGACGAAAGGCUGACCGAGCAACGCCGCGUGAGUGAAGAAGGUUUUCGGUUCGUAAAACUCUGUUGUUAGAGAAGCGGUAUCUAACCAGAAAGCCACGGCUAACUACGUGCCAGCAGCCGCGGUAAUAC
rnacentral:rRNA from 1 species